rnacentral:tRNA from 1 species
GCGAUCGUAGCUCAGUUGGUUAGAGCAUCGGUUUGUGGUACCGAGGGUCGGGGGUUCAAGUCCCCUCGAUCGCCCCA